rnacentral:rRNA from 1 species
UGACACGUAGGCACCAAGCGUUGUCCGGAUUUAUUGGGCGUAAAGAGCUCGUAGGCGGUUCAGUAAGUCGGGUGUGAAAACUCUGGGCUCAACUCAGAGACGCCACCCGAUACUGCUGUGACUUGAGUCCGGUAGGGGAGUGGGGAAUUCCUGGUGUAGCGGUGAAAUGCGCAGAUAUCAGGAGGAACACCAAUGGCGAAGGCACCACUCUGGGCCGAGACUGACGCUGAGGAGCGAAAGCGUGGGUAGCAAACAGG